UGAUAUUGACACAAGAAAAAAUAGAUGGUUUCAUGAAGACAAUUCCUGGUUUAUUUUAUACAAGUUUGUGGUGAAAGAUAUAUGGUGAAAUAUGGUAAAAUACAGCCACUCAUACGUUGGGCAGUGCUGACAAGUUGGCAAUACAGUUACUAGGGGAGUUUGUUUUGGUUUGUUUUUGUUAUCUGUUUGCAAUACCCAACACUAAACAUAUGAAGUUGGCUGCAGUAGUUUCAGCUGUGUUGUAUGACAUACCUCUCAAAACAUAACAAAUGGGGAAGCAGAAAAAAGUAUGUUUCAAGAGGACACACCCUGGGAGAGACCAGGGGUGAUCAUACAAACAGAGAUGGAAUAAUAUUUGAUAGGCUAAACUGUAUAGAUCAGAAUUGUGCAAACAACAGAAUUAGGAAGGUAUGCACAUGCAGGAAGUGUGAUGUGAAGAAUCUUCAUCAAAAGCCUGGACCAUAUAAUGGAAAUUCACUUGAUUCAAUAUUGCACAGUCAACCUGAAUUGCAGCUGAUGAUCGUGAACUGCUUGUUGACAAAAGGAGAAAAAGAAUUUUCCAAAAUAGAAAGAGGCAUGGGAGGAGAAAAGGAAGCCUGCGUGACACCAUGUACUAAUGAGAAAAAGUAAAACGAGAAAUGCUCAAGGAGAAAGAUAGUCAAAGAGAACAUGAAGGAAGAUGGAAUGAACUUAUAUGUCAAGUAGAACAGAAUAUUUUUCAAGGACCAAGUCCAUCUACCUGGACAUGUGAAAGAGGUCUGCAUCAGUGAAUCGAUAAGCUAUGCUUCUCCAGAAAAUUAAUGUAAACUGUUUAAUAAAGUGUCAGAUCUACAGCUGCUCAGUUAAAUAUAGGAAGAAACUGCUGAUAGCUUUUUUAUGACAGGGGAUAAACCUGAGGAAGAACCUGGCUCAAGGGAAGAAUAUUUUAAAGAAGAAAAAGGUCACAGAGUUUGUGAUGGAUGUUGAAAGAAGAGUAAGACAAAUUUACAGUAAAAGAAACAAGUGGGAUUGCCAAAACAAGGGAAUAUCUGAAUAUGUUGGGAUGAGCAACUACAAUACAGAAGAUCAGUUAACCUUUCUUCAGACUUAGAACAGAUUCCACUACAAAGCCUCACACCUGACAUUUAAACUUGUCUGCAUGAAAGUUCUUAUGGUGCAGAUACCAGCUGGAUCCAAUUCUCAUUCAGCUAAUAGCUGGAAUGUGGAGAAGCUUCAACCAAAUCUCAAAAGCAAACAAAAUAAUCUGAAGGAUAAAGAUACGACGAAAGCAGCAAAUUCCUCUGAAAUCUACUGGGCUGAGGAAUGAUGAAACACAAGACAAAGCUCUUAUCUAUCAGGAAGUUUAAAGCACACCACCUUUUCAUAUGGGACCUAACUGAACGUAUAAUUGAAACAGUGAGACCACCUGGAUACACAACGUUGUCAACUAUAAAAAGGCAUACACAUACAACAUAUGGUUGCUGGUAUAAACAGGCCAAGCAACUUUUACAGGCACUUCUUGAGUAGCAAGAAAAAAAAGAUUUUAAAGCUGUAGAUGGGAGUACAAUAAAGGACUGUACUUGCUGAAUGUAAGCUGCGUGUCAACUACAUCUGAAAGCAAGAGUGAAGAGCUGGCAGAUGUAGGUAAGCAAUGUUUAUUAGGUAGCAAAGCUAGCUUUAAUUUAUUCAUAAAUGGGUCUGUAGAUUGGCAUUGCUAUAUACUGUGCUUUUUCAUCUAUUUCUCAGAUGAUCAGAGGCAGCAAUUUAAACCAUCAAGACCUUAGAAAAAGAAAAAAUCAAAACACAUUGAUUAUGCUGAUGACACAUUGAUGACACAACUCUCCUUAUGUGCUUACACAUAAACGUUCUUGUUUUUUUAUACUAUUUUUGAACAUAAGGUACCCCAGUUUGUAAUGCACAGAAAACCAAAUAAAAACUUGUUAGAACGUCCAAUGGCAUAGCUUGAUAGAAAACUGUAGCAUACUGUCACAUUUCUUUAUAAAGAGGAAAAAAUACACCUCUCUUUCCUGUUUUAGGUGUUCUAUAACUGCCACAGAUUUUAGAGACAGCUAAUAUGUAGCUGUUUAAAUUAAGAGUCAUGUGUGGCCAGGUAAAAUUUACUGCAAAAUAACUUCAUACUGUAGCCAUGAACUGGUAGAAGGAUCCUGCCUAGUUUUAAAUUGUUCCAAAAAGGGCAAAAGAAGGGAAAAAAAAACUGAUUGUGAUGAAGGACAUGCAGGUGGAGUGGAAUUUUGUAAAUGAUUUCAGCUGCAUUCAUUAAAAGUCUACUUUUUAGUCUCUGGGAUUCUUCAGGUGUUUACAGCUGGAAGUCUUCUGAGGAGCUGCUGAGGGAAUUGGGGUUGUUUCAUUUGGAGAAGAGGAGGCUUGGGGAGACCUUAUCACUCUAUAAAUACCAGAAAGAAUAUUGUGGUGAGGAGGAUAUUUUCCUCCUGUGUAAGUAGCAAUAGGACUAGAGGGAAUGGCAUCAAGUUACAGAGGAAAAAUUAAGUUACAUACUAGGAAAAAGUUACAUUCUAGGAAAAGUUUGUUCUCUGAAUGAGUGAUGAGAUGCUGGAAUCGGCUGCCCAAUCACCCCCUGGAAGUGUUCAAGAAGCAUUUA
rnacentral:lncRNA from 1 species